rnacentral:rRNA from 1 species
GUAGGGGGCAAGCGUUAUCCGGAUUUGCUGGGCGUAAAGCGCGUGCAGGCGGCUUGGUAGGUUGGACGUGAAAGCUCCUGGCUCAACUAGGAGAGGCCGUUCAAUACCGCCAGGCUUGAGGGCGGAAGAGGGGGGCGGAAUUCCCGGUGUAGUGGUGGAAUGCGUAGAUAUCGGGAGGAACACCCGUGGCGAAGGCGGCUCCCUGGUCCGUACCUGACGCUAAGACGCGAAAGCGUGGGUAGCGAACGGGAUUAGAUACCCCGGUAGUCCACGCCGUAAACGAUAGAUGCUAGGUGUGGGUGGUAUUGACCCCCAUCCCGUGCCGUAGCUAACGCGUUAAGCAUCCCGCCUGGGGACUACGGCCGCAAGGCUA